UACAAACUAGAAAUUGAUUGU
rnacentral:piRNA from 1 species